AAAUGAAUUGACGGGGGCCCGCACAAGCGGUGGAGCAUGUGGCUUAAUUCGAUGCAACGCGAAGAACCUUACCUGGGUUUGACAUGUAUUGGGCGAUCUGCUGAAAGGCGGGUUUCUCUUCGGAGCCGAUACACAGGUGCUGCAUGGCUGUCGUCAGCUCGUGUCGUGAGAUGUUCGGUUAAGUCCGGCAACGAGCGCAACCCUCGCGGAUAGUUACUAACAGGCAAAGCUGAGGACUCUAUUCGGACAAACCUCAAUUAGAGGUGGGAAGGUGGGGAUGACGUCAAGUCAGCAUGGCCCUUACAUCCAGGGCUGCACACGUGCUACAAUGCGCAGUACAGAGGGAGGCGAUACCGUGAGGUGGAGCAAAUCUCGAAAGCUGCGCUCAGUUCAGAUUGGAGUCUGCAACUCGACUCCAUGAAGUUGGAAUCGCUAGUAAAGGCGUAUCAGCUACGACGCCUUGAAUACGUUCCCGGGCCUUGUACACACCGCCCGU
rnacentral:rRNA from 1 species